rnacentral:rRNA from 1 species
GCUCACCAAGGCAACGAUGCGUAGCCGACCUGAGAGGGUGAUCGGCCACACUGGGACUGAGACACGGCCCAGACUCCUACGGGAGGCAGCAGUAGGGAAUCUUCCGCAAUGGACGAAAGUCUGACGGAGCAACGCCGCGUGAGUGAUGAAGGCUUUCGGGUCGUAAAACUCUGUUGUUAGGGAAGAACAAGUGCUAGUUGAAUAAGCUGGCACCUUGACGGUACCUAACCAGAAAGCCACGGCUAACUACGUGCCAGCAGCCGCGGUAAUACGUAGGUGGCAAGCGUUAUCCGGAAUUAUUGGGCGUAAAGCGCGCGCAGGUGGUUUCUUAAGUCUGAUGUGAAAGCCCACGGCUUCAACCGUGGAGGGUCAUUGGAAACUGGGAGGACUUGAGUGCAGAAGAGGAAAGUGGAAUUCCAUGUGUUAGCCGUGAAAUGCGUAGAGAUAUGGAGGAACACCAGUGGCGAAGGCGACUUUCUGGUCUGUAACUGACACUGAGGCNGCGAAAGCGUGGGAACCAAACAGGAUUAGAUACCCUGGUAAUUCCACGCCGNUAAACGAUGAGNNUGCUAAGUGUUAGNAGGGUUUCCGCCCUUAAGUGCUGNAAGUUAANCGCAUUAACCACUCCGCCNUGGGGAGUACGGCNCGCAAGGNCUGAAACUCAAAGGAAUUGACCGGGGCCCGCACCAAGCGGUGGAGCCAUNGUGGUUUAAUUCGGAACCAACGCGAAGAACCNUUACCAGGUCUGGACAUCCUCUGACAACCCCAGAGAUUAGGGCUUCUCCUUCGGGAACAGGANGUGACAGNGUGGUGCCAUGGUUGUCGUUCAGCUCGGGUUCUGGGAGAGGUGGGGUUAAGUCCCGCAACGAAGCGCAACCCCUGAUCUUUAGUGCCAUCCAUUAAGUGGGCCACUCUAAGGGANCUGCCGGGGACCAACCGGGAGGAAGGGGGGGAGGACGUCAAAUUCAUCCAUCCCCUAUNGACCUUGGCUACCACCCUGCUACCAAGAGCGGUACCAAAAAGCUGCCAGACCGC